ACCCGAGGUACCACUGUAGUUCAGUCAGUAGAACAUGAGGUUCUUAAUCUCAGGGUUGUGAGUUGGAGUCCCAUAUUGGGCA